GACGAACGCUGGCGGCGUGCUUAACACAUGCAAGUCGAACGGAAAGGCCCUGCUUUUGUGGGGUGCUCGAGUGGCGAACGGGUGAGUAACACGUGAGUAACCUGCCCUUGACUUUGGGAUAACUUCAGGAAACUGGGGCUAAUACCGGAUAGGAUCUCCUGCUGCAUGGUGGGGGUUGGAAAGUUUCGGCGGAUGGGGAUGGACUCGCGGCGUAUCAGCUUGUUGGUGGGGUAGUGGCUUACCAAGGCUUGGACGGGUAGCCGGCCUGAGAGGGUGACCGGACACAUUGGGACUGAGAUACGGCCCAGACUCCUACGGGAGGCAGCAGUGGGGAAUAGUGCACAAUGGGCGGAAGCCUGAUGCAGCAACGCCGCGUGCGGGAUGACGGCCUUCGGGUUGUAAACCGCUUUCGCCUGUGACGAAGCGUGAGUGACGGUAAUGGGUAAAGAAGCACCGGCUAACUACGUG
rnacentral:rRNA from 1 species